UACAGAGGUCUCAAGCGUUGUUCGGAUUCAUUGGGCGUAAGGGUGCGUAGGUGGCGCCGUAAGUCGGGUGUGAAAUUUCGGAGCUUAACUCCGAAACUGCAUUCGAUACUGCGGUGCUUGAGGACUGGAGAGGAGACUGGAAUUCAUGGUGUAGCAGUGAAAUGCGUAGAGAUCAUGAGGAAGACCAGUGGCGAAAGGCGGGGUCUCUGGGACAGUUCCUGACACUGAGGCAACGAAGGCCCAGGGGGAGCAAAACGGGGAUUAGAAAACCCCU
rnacentral:rRNA from 1 species